rnacentral:pre_miRNA from 1 species
UGGUUGUGCUGGGGCAAUUGAUGGUUUAAUUUUAAUACGAAUUUUGUUUAUUUUAGGUGAGAUUUUAAUACUAAACCAUCAAUUGCCCCAGCACAACCAACA